CCGAAAGGCGUAGUCGAUGGGAAACGGGUUAAUAUUCCCGUACUUGGUGUUACUGCGAAGGGGGGACGGAGAAGGCUAUGUUGGCCGGGCGACGGUUGUCCCGGUUUAAGCGUGUAGGUGUGUGUUCCAGGUAAAUCCGGUUCACUUUAACACUGAGGCGUGACGACGAGGCACUACGGUGCUGAAGCAACAAAUGCCCUGCUUCCAGGAAAAGCCUCUAAGCAUCAGGUAACAUCAAAUCGUACCCCAAACCGACACAGGUGGUCAGGUAGAGAAUACCAAGGCGCUUGAGAGAACUCGGGUGAAGGAACUAGGCAAAAUGGUGCCGUAACUUCGGGAGAAGGCACGCUGACACGUAGGUGAAGUGAUUUACUCAUGGAGCUGAAGUCAGUCGAAGAUACCAGCUGGCUGCAACUGUUUAUUAAAAACACAGCACUGUGCAAACACGAAAGUGGACGUAUACGGUGUGACGCCUGCCCGGUGCCGGAAGGUUAAUUGAUGGGGUCAGCGCAAGCGAAGCUCCUGAUCGAAGCCCCGGUAAACGGCGGCCGUAACUAUAACGGUCCUAAGGUAGCGAAAUUCCUUGUCGGGUAAGUUCCGACCUGCACGAAUGGCGUAAUGAUGGCCAGGCUGUCUCCACCCGAGACUCAGUGAAAUUGAACUCGCUGUGAAGAUGCAGUGUACCCGCGGCAAGACGGAAAGACCCCGUGAACCUUUACUAUAGCUUGACACUGAACAUUGAGCCUUGAUGUGUAGGAUAGGUGGGAGGCUUUGAAGUGUGGACGCCAGUCUGCAUGGAGCCGACCUUGAAAUACCACCCUUUAAUGUUUGAUGUUCUAACGUGGACCCGUAAUCCGGGUUGCGGACAGUGUCUGGUGGGUAGUUUGACUGGGGCGGUCUCCUCCUAAAGAGUAACGGAGGAGCACGAAGGUUGGCUAAUCCUGGUCGGACAUCAGGAGGUUAGUGCAAUGGCAUAAGCCAGCUUGACUGCGAGCGUGACGGCGCGAGCAGGUGCGAAAGCAGGUCAUAGUGAUCCGGUGGUUCUGAAUGGAAGGGCCAUCGCUCAACGGAUAAAAGGUACUCCGGGGAUAACAGGCUGAUACCGCCCAAGAGUUCAUAUCGACGGCGGUGUUUGGCACCUCGAUGUCGGCUCAUCACAUCCUGGGGCUGAAGUAGGUCCCAAGGGUAUGGCUGUUCGCCAUUUAAAGUGGUACGCGAGCUGGGUUUAGAACGUCGUGAGACAGUUCGGUCCCUAUCUGCCGUGGGCGCUGGAGAACUGAGGGGGGCUGCUCCUAGUACGAGAGGACCGGAGUGGACGCAUCACUGGUGUUCGGGUUGUCAUGCCAAUGGCACUGCCCGGUAGCUAAAUGCGGAAGAGAUAAGUGCUGAAAGCAUCUAAGCACGAAACUUGCCCCGA
rnacentral:rRNA from 2 species